rnacentral:rRNA from 1 species
UACGAAGGGGGCUAGCGUUGCUCGGAAUUACUGGGCGUAAAGGGCGCGUAGGCGGUGCGGUAAGUCUGUAGUGAAAUCUCCGGGCUCAACUCGGAGUCUGCAUCAGAAACUGCCGUGCUCGAGUGUGGGAGAGGUGAGUGGAAUUCCCGGUGUAGAGGUGAAAUUCGUAGAUAUCGGGAGGAACACCAGUGGCGAAGGCGGCGACCUGGGCCAAUAUUGGACG